GCAGUUGACGUAAUCUUCUUUUCUUUUUUUACAACGACGGUUUCUCCAUGGGAACGGUAGAACGGCAGAACCAAGCUCACCUUCGUCAAAUCGUGCGUGCGGUUCAGCUAAAAAAAAUCGUGCGAGCAGUUCGGGACGUCUGCCGCGAGCUCGCCGAGCCCUCCUCCUCCACCGCCUCAACCUCUCCCGCGAUCUCGUCGCUGCCCAAUCCCACCUUACCGCCGGCGACCAGGGUUUCUUCGCCUGCUGAGGAAGCGGCGGCGGCGGCUUCGACGACGACGACUGGGGCGCCUCCACUGCUCCCGCGACCUUGCCGCUGCCCAAUCCUGCCUUCUCGCGGGAGGCCCAAAGCCACCUUCCUUUUCUGCCCAACUCCCUGCUGCCGCCGCCGCCUAGGGUUUCUAGCGCCGCCGCUGCUUGCUGCUACUGCUGCCGGUGCCGCUGAUGUUGCUGGUAGGUGCCGGUUCCGCUGAUGUUGCUGGUAGGUGCCGGUUCCGCUGAUGUUGCUGGUAGGUGCCGGUGCCGCUGUAGUCUAAUCUUGCCGCGGCCACAAGCUCGAGGCCCACUGUAGCUGUUGUUGCCUCCAUUCGCAGCCACCAAACCUGUGCGUGUGUUGCUCGGCCACCACGGAGGGGGAAAAGGAGAUGGCAUGGAGAUAGCCAAUAGCCCUAUGUCGGCACAAGCAGGAGCCGGGAAGAGGGGAAAAAAUACAGAAAGAAGAUUGAAUAAGAGAAGGAUUUUGGAAAUCCCAGGUUCACCAUGCUCAUCUCAUCUCUAAUUGAAGUUUCUCACAGUAAAGGUAGUCCUUAAUUAGUCCCUAGAUUAAAUACCAAUUUACUGGAUCGAAACAGUUGGUGUUUCUUGAUUAGAUUAUUGUCAAGUCUUGCUCGGAAUUGUUUCUUUGUCUACUCUAGAUAAAAGUAACCGGUGUAGUCAUACCUCUCUGCAGGUACUCUCAGAUUUAACAAAAAAAACAGCUACGAUGAAAACUUGAGGAAAGAAGAAUCACGGCUGUGUUGUCUCUCAACAUGUGGGCUGUAAUGUUGGGUCCAUAUGGCAUCCUUUUGUUCUUUUUUUGCAGAGUGGAGUAGAGUUUCUCUCUGAAGAGUCAAGGCGUAUAUAGUGCACAAAGUGUGGUAACUUCCAUUUAUGGAUAUGCACCAAGAGAAGCAAAGCCAAAGUAAGAUGGUGCCAGGAUUGUUCUCAGCACCAUGUUGCCAAGGAUGGUGAUGGAUGGGUGGAAUAUUGAUAUUGAACAUCCUUGAAGCACUUGAAACGGUCCUUGGUCUGCCUGCCGUAGAGCCAUUAUGGAAGAGCCUCCUCCCCAUCUCCGCUGGCAUCUGCUCAGCCUGGAGGUGGGCCGAACUUCCAGGCCUACAACACAUCGAUGGCUCAGCCUCGGCAACCAGGUGAUGGAGCUUGUCGGCAACCAAUUCAUCCAUCAAAAGUUCCUUCUGCUUUGUGGUGACUUGAGGUAUCAUCUUCCUUCCCUGGUAAUUACACUCUUCUUCCCUCGUGCCCGCAAGGUUAACAUUCCUUCUCACUCGAUGUUUGUUGUUGAUGUGUCUAUCGUAUACACCCAUGAAAUGAGCUGACGAGCAAUUUCAGUAUAUUUGCAAUGAUUUUGUAUUGUUCAUUAAAAACUGCAGUGUCUUUUUGCUGUAUUCGGCUUGAUGGCCAAUAUAAGCUAAAUUAAAUGCUCAGAUGGAAAUGCUCCAGGUUGUGAUUCAAUCAAUGAAGGAAAAAAAUGCCAUAAAAAGAUAAAGGCUUGUUAUAUGGCUUGCUUUCUAUAUUUGUUGAUCUCAUAAUUGCCCGAGAGGAUCUCAAUUAUAUCUUGCUAUAUCCUGAAGAAGUGUUGGAUUACUGUACAGUUUCAGAUACCAUGUCAUAAAGAUAAGUGAACUGACAAUAUUGCAUUUGGAGUCAAAUUCACUAAUAACCAUCUAAAGAAGGCUCCACCAAUUCAAUUGAAGCAGAGUAAGAAGCAUAAUUUUUAAGUACGUUCAGGAUUGUACAUCCUCUGGAACAGAAAAUAAACAGGGAGAGAAAACCAUGCACAUCCUAUUUUCUUAUAUGCAUUUGUCCUAUUUUUAGCUGAGGCUGAAAGUAAGCAUCUUGUGGCCAUGCCUUUCCUCUCAGAUUUUUCCUUCAAUCUUAUGCUGGAUUUUCACCUAAAGGUCGCAGUAUUCCUCUAUACACAAACCAGUUAAUUGAAAGCUGAAAUGAUGUGAGUUAAUUAGGUCAGAAGCGGAACUGAUGUGAGUUCAUCAGGUUUUCCUGUUAGUUGGCUUGCCCAACAGAAACAAAAUUUUGAUAAUUGGGAUCGGGGAAGGGGGACAUAUUUGAAGAUUCUAAUAUUUGUCUCUGCACAAAUAUAAGUAAGAAGCUCUUAUCUCUCCCAUUAUUUCAUUCCUAUAGAAGGUUUGUUUUCAUAAACUUUUAUAACUUACAAGUACUAGUGUUUAGCUAGCGCAAUAUAAAAAUGUUAAUAGUACAUACACAAUAUUGCUUCUGUCUUGCAAUGUAGCCCUUCAUAUUAUGACUGCAUUCCAGGAAGUGUAUGUGCUCAGUCACCAUCUUUCGUAUUAGAACCCAUGUUUAAAUGGUCAAUUCUCGUUCCAAACAAUUAUGGAUCUAUCCAAACUAAUUAUGGAUCUAGAUGAGGAGAGAUCGCAAAACCAGAGAUAUUGUUUAUGAUUCAUGGUUCUCACAAUUUUGUUUCCGCCUUUAGAAAUCUGAUCUUUUAUCUAAAAGGUUACUGGCAUCUCUUAGCUGACUAUAUAUGUCACGAACUUGGGCUUUGUUGUAGAACUAAAGAACUGCAACAUGUCACAAGCUGCUAACAGCUGAGUCACCCAAACUAUAAGUGAACUUGACGGCACUAUCGUUUGCAUGUAAUAAAUCUUCCUGUUACUACAGAUUCCUAGAAACUACAGAUUUGGCUGAUCAAUGGUUUCUUAUUAAACCUUCUUGUGUAACUCAUGUUCUCCAUGUAAUCUUCUGAAAGAAUUAUGAGAGCUGAUGUGCUUUUUUUUUCCAAACAGUAGAAGGGCGAGGAAGAGCAGUUGCUAGAAGCUUGUCAGCGACCAAUACAUGCAUUAGAAGUUUCUUCUCCGUUAUUUCUUUCUUUCUUUCUGAAUUUCUCUGUGUUAUGUAUUUCUUGUGCACUUUUCUACGGUAUUGUGUUGUAUUAUGGAUUACAGUGUAUAUCCUGAAAACUGGAAUGGAUUCUUAUCUUUACUUUGCCUUCAUAUAUGGACAUUACGACAAGCACUUGAUUAGCCAGCCACAAGCAAUGCUCUUUUAAUGCGCAUGAUUAGCUAAUCAUCCUAAUGACUUGCACUUGGGUCCUAGAUUGGCUUGUCUUAUUUAUUUAUUUUGGUUUUUAGUACAACACAUUGUGAAAUAUGAACUCAAUUGAAUAUUUAUGUAUUUUCAGAGCUAUGCUACAGAAAAAUAGAUAGUAUUAGGCACUUUUCUGAAUCUUCAAUUGAAUAUGAUCAAGUUUAACUCAAACAUGAACACCUCACUACGACGGCAAAGAGAGUCGGCUUCGUUGUAGUAUUGAACCGUCAAAGGAGAAUCAGUAUACGGCCGAAGAUCUCUCCUACCUCAUCUUCCAUGAUUUGAACGAAGUUAGGCCUUUACCUGAUUCUCUGGAGAAGUCCAGGCCCAUGAUAACCCACAUGUGAAAAACUUUCGAUGAGAAUAUCCUCAAAAUUGCACUUGCAGAAUAUUGCUUCUUCCAGUGUCCAUGUCCAUGUAAUGUAUUUUUCUUAUGAAUGGUUCUUUUGUAUUGGCAAACGUGCAAGGAAACAUAUCUUCAAAAAUUUUGUAGUGCUUGAAUGAUGAAUGGCUUCAACGUUGCCUUCUCUUAGAUUUUUUUCGUCGAGGGGAAUCAUCUGAUUAAUUAAUCGUUGUUUCAUUUGAUUUGAGAGAUGUAUUGAGA